rnacentral:rRNA from 1 species
CGCCUUGCCAGCCCGCUCAGAACUCAAAGGAAUUGACGGGGGCCCGGCACAAGCGGUGGAGUAUGUGGUUAAUUCGAUGCAACGCGAAGAACCUUACCUGGUCUUGACAUCCCGGAGACCCUUAGGAAACUAGGGGGUGCUUCCAUCUGGAAGAAUCUGGAGACAGGUGCUGCAUGGCUGUCGUCAGCUCGUGUCGUGAGAUGUUGGGUUAAGUCCCGCAACGAGCGCAACCCUUGCCUUUAGUUGCCAGCAGUUCGGCUGGGCACUCUAAAGGGACUGCCGGUGUUAAACCGGAGGAAGGUGGGGAUGACGUCAAGUCCUCAUGGCCUUUAUGACCAGGGCUACACACGUACUACAAUGGCCGAUACAAAGGGCAGCGACACUGCGAGGUGAAGCCAAUCCCGUAAAAUCGGUCUCAGUCCGGAUUGGAGUCUGCAACUCGACUCCAUGAAGUUGGAAUCGCUAGUAAUCGUGGAUCAGCAUGCCACGGUGAAUACGUUCCCGGGCCUU